rnacentral:rRNA from 1 species
UACAGAGGGUGCGAACGUUGCUCGGAAUUACUGGGCGUAAAGCGCAUGUAGGCGGGUCGGCAAGUCAGAUGUGAAAUCCCCGGGCUCAACCCGGGAACUGCAUCUGAAACUGCCGGUCUUGAGUACUGGAGAGGGUGGCGGAAUUCCUGGUGUAGAGGUGAAAUUCGUAGAUAUCAGGAGGAACACCGGUGGCGAAGGCGGCCACCUGGACAGUAACUGACGCUGAGAUGCGAAAGCGUGGGGAGCAAACAGG